rnacentral:rRNA from 1 species
CUACGGGACGCUGCAGUAAGGAAUAUUGCGCAAUGGAGGCAACUCUGACGCAGCCAUGCCGCGUGCAGGAAGAAGGCCUUAUGGGUCGUAAACUGCUUUUAUUUAGGAAUAAACCCCCGAACGUGUUCGGGGCUGAAGGUACUAAACGAAUAAGCACCGGCUAACUCCGUGCCAGCAGCCGCGGUAAUACGGAGGGUGCAAGCGUUAUCCGGAUUUAUUGGGUUUAAAGGGUGCGCAGGCGGGUUAUUAAGUCAGUGGUGAAAUCCCGGGGCUCAACUCCGGAACUGCCAUUGAUACUGAUAGUCUUGAGUUUGGUUGAAGUGGGCGGAAUGUAGCAUGUAGCGGUGAAAUGCAUAGAUAUGCUACAGAACACCAAUCGCGAAGGCAGCUCACUAAGCCAAAACUGACGCUCAUGCACGAAAGCGUGGGGAUCAAACAGGAUUAGAUACCCCUGUAGUC